rnacentral:rRNA from 1 species
AACGCGAAGAACCUUACCAGGGCUUGACAUCCUGCGAACCUCUGGGAAACCGGAGGGUGCCUUCGGGAACGCAGAGACAGGUGGUGCAUGGCUGUCGUCAGCUCGUGUCGUGAGAUGUUGGGUUAAGUCCCGCAACGAGCGCAACCCACGUCUUUAGUUGCCAGCAUUCAGUUGGGCACUCUAGAGAGACCGCCGGUGAUAAGCCGGAGGAAGGUGGGGACGACGUCAAGUCAUCAUGGCCCUUACGGGCUGGGCUACACACGUGCUACAAUGGCGGUGACAAUGCGCAGCCACCUAGCAAUAGGGAGCUAAUCGCAAAAAGCCGUCUCAGUUCGGAUUGGAGUCUGCAACUCGACUCCAUGAAGUUGGAAUCGCUAGUAAUCGCGCAUCAGCAUGGCGCGGUGAAUACGUUCCCGGGUCUUGUACACACCG